rnacentral:rRNA from 1 species
UACGUAGGGUGCGAGCGUUGUCCGGAAUUAUUGGGCGUAAAGAGCUCGUAGGCGGUUUGUCGCGUCUGCCGUGAAAGUCCGGGGCUCAACUCCGGAUCUGCGGUGGGUACGGGCAGACUAGAGUGAUGUAGGGGAGACUGGAAUUCCUGGUGUAGCGGUGAAAUGCGCAGAUAUCAGGAGGAACACCGAUGGCGAAGGCAGGUCUCUGGGCAUUAACUGACGCUGAGGAGCGAAAGCAUGGGGGAGCGAACAGG